GUGCCAGCAGCCGCGGUAAUACAGAGGUCCCGAGCGUUGUUCGGAUUCACUGGGCGUAAAGGGUGCGUAGGCGGUUGGGCAAGUCUGAUGUGAAAGCCCCGGGCUUAACCCGGGAAUGGCAUCGGAAACUGCCUGGCUUGAGGCUUGGAGGGGGGACUGGAAUGCUCGGUGUAGCAGUGAAAUGCGUAGAGAUCGAGCGGAACACCGGUGGCGAAGGCGAGUCCCUGGACAAGACCUGACGCUGAGGCACGAAAGCCAGGGGAGCAAACAGGAUUAGAUACCCGGGUAGUCC
rnacentral:rRNA from 1 species